rnacentral:rRNA from 1 species
CCUACGGGAGGCAGCAGUGAGGAAUAUUGGUCAAUGGACGCAAGUCUGAACCAGCCAUGCCGCGUGCAGGAAGACGGCUCUAUGAGUUGUAAACUGCUUUUGUACGAGGGUAAACGCAGAUACGCGUAUCUGUCUGAAAGUAUCGUACGAAUAAGGAUCGGCUAACUCCGUGCCAGCAGCCGCGGUAAUACGGAGGAUUCAAGCGUUAUCCGGAUUUAUUGGGUUUAAAGGGUGCGUAGGCGGUCGGAUAAGUUAGAGGUGAAAUCCCGAGGCUCAACUUCGGAAUUGCCUCUGAUACUGUUCGGCGAGAGAGUAGUUGCGGUAGGCGGAAUGUAUGGUGGAGCGGUGAAAUGCUUAGAGAUCAUACAGAACACCGAUUGCGAAGGCAGCUUACCAAGCUACUUCUGACGUUGAGGCACGAAAGCGUGGGGAGCAAACAGGAUUAGAUACCCGAGUAGUC